UUUCGCAAUGCCCGAAAGGGUGACGAAGCGACGCCGCGUGAGUGAGGAGGGCCUUCGGGUUGUAAAGCUCUGUCAGGAGUUAAGAAAUAUAAGUGUGUUAAUACCACAUUUAUUUGACGAAGGCUCCAAAGGAAGCCACGGCUAACUCUGUGCCAGCAGCCGCGGUAAUACAGAGGUGGCAAGCGUUGUUCGGGAUUAUUGGGCGUAAAGAGCACGUAGGUGGGUUUGUAAGUCAGAUGUGAAAGCCUUCUGUUCAACGGAAGAAUUGCAUCUGAAACUGCGAGUCUUGAGUGUAGGAGGGGAGAAUGGAACUUCUGGUGGAGCGGUGAAAUGCGUAGAUAUCAGAAGGAACGCCGGCGGCGAAAGCGAUUCUCUGGCCUAUUACUGACACUCAGUGUGCGAAAGCUAGGGGAGCAAACGGGAUUAGAUACCCCGGUAGUCCUAGCUGUAAACGAUGGGCACUAAGUAGAGGGGUUUU
rnacentral:rRNA from 1 species